CGCUGGCGGCGUGCCUAACACAUGCAAGUCGAACGAUUCUUUGAUUUAUAGCAAUAUUUAUUAAAGAGGAGUGGCGAACGGGUGAGUAACACGUAGAUAAUCUGCCUUCAGACGGGGACAACUCAGGGAAACUUGUGCUAAUACCCGAUGAGACCACAAGAAGGGAUUUUUUGUGGCCAAAGGCGGGCAGCAAUGCUCGUGCUGAAAGAUGAGUCUGCGUCCUAUCAGCUAGUUGGUGGGGUAAAUGCCUACCAAGGCUAAGACGGGUAGCCGGCCUGAGAGGGUGAACGGCCACACUGGGACUGAGACACGGCCCAGACUCCUACGGGAGGCAGCAGUGAGGAAUUUUCCGCAAUGGGCGCAAGCCUGACGGAGCGACGCCGCGUGAGGGAUGACAAGCUUUCGGGUUGUAAACCUCUUUUAUUAAGGAAAAAGAUCUAUAUGCUAAUAUCAUGUAGAUUUGAUGGUACUUAUUGAAUAAGCCCCGGCUAACUACGUGCCAGCAGCAGC
rnacentral:rRNA from 1 species